rnacentral:tRNA from 1 species
CAAAUUAAAGCUUAAUUAGUGAAGUGAUUUAUUUACAUUAAAUAGAGGUUGUGCAAAUCAAUAUAAUUUGA